rnacentral:misc_RNA from 1 species
UAUUGUCUCAUGUUUCUGCAUCCUGGUUCAUAAUCAACAACUAGAAAGCGAUAUUAUUCACUGCAUUAGGUGCCUUUGUUUUCCUUUAUGUGAUUAUUGAAGCUCUUGUGCCUACUACUACAUCAUUGAUACAAUUAAAGCUUGAUAACUUAAGAAGUAUUGCAAAUACUAUCAAACAAUUCUUGGCUUGUCUUCAUCCAAUAUUUGAAACUACUCAAUUCAGAAAAUGAUGGGGAUAUAGAUGUGUUAGAAUCUUGAAUUCAUCUCCCUCCAGAAAUGAUUGGAAAAACACCUCCAAGUUAUAAAUGGCUGUAUUUAGGCUCUUCAAUUUUCCAGGAAUAUGCACCAUGAGAAGGUUCUUUUGGAUAUUUUAUUGUAGCAGGUUUUUUAGGUGACCUUUUGGAGGAUUUUGAGACCGUGAAGACAACAUAAAAAAAAAGGGAAAUGCAUGAGAACAUUUUGGAAAAUAUAAUAAGAAUCCAAAGUUUAUAAAGUUUCUAAGCCAUAUUAUUAUGCUUCAAUGUCUCCCAGCUCCACUCUUUCUUCAUUGCUAUUGCAAAAAUGACCAUUUGGAAUACAAUGAUGAUGUUCUAAUGUUUGUUAUAUUUUCAUCCAAGAAAAAAUUUUUUGUGUUGUGGGAAAUCUUAAGUUACAUGGAAACACAACCAAAUCAUUGAUUGGUCAAAUAUCUUAGCGAAUUUGAGUUUGCUUGAUAUGUCUAUGACUCAGGA